ACAUGUCACGUCAAUGCUUUCAAUUAAAAAAGAGAUGGAAGUCGAAGUCGGAGAUUACUGUCAAGUGAAAAUGCGUACGCACGUCAUUUUACCCCCGCGGCAACGAGACGACAGUAGGAUGCAAUAAAUUUCCCUCCUUCUCUCCUUCCUCUUCCGUCGCUCUCUAUAUCCUUCAUCGUCAUGUUCCACGCUUAGUUGUUUAAGUUCGCUCCUCUCGAGGAUGAUUUAUUAACUCUGCCACGUGACCCGGUGCAGGAUGUGAAAGUGGAAACGUUCUUCCUGCGUCUCCCUGCGUAUCAGACCUUAUCUACGUGCUCCGCUUGUCGCGCUGUGCACUCGCAAAUAAUUUGCGCGUCCAAUGCAGUUUACGACGCAAGUUUCAUCUUACAAUUAUAUUUGUCACUUCAUUCGUUGUCACUUCAUUAUUAAAACGUUCGGAAAUUAAUGUCAACGCGUUUUUCUAAUGCGAAUUGAAUGAGCUGCACGGGAAAAAAUUGAACGGAACCUUCUAUUCUUGCGAAAAACGGAUUCGGUGUGUUAUAAGAUUGUGCAACUUACGAGUAUUGGAGUUACGAAUGGUAUGCAUUAUGAAUGAACAAAGCGUAGAAUCAUAUAUCUCUCUCUCUCUCUCCCUGUUUUACGAAAUU